GUCCCAGCUGUAAACUAUGCAAACUCAGUGAUGCAUUGGCUUGUGGCCAAUGCAGUGCUGCAGGGAAGCCGUUAAGUUUGCCGCCUGGGAAGUACGUACGCAAGUAUGAAACUUAAAGGAAUUGGCGUGGGAGCACCACAAGGGGUGAAGCCUGCGGUUCAAUUGGAGUCAACGCCAGAAAUCUUACCCGGAGAGACAGCAGAAUGAAGGUCAAGCUGAAGACUUUACCAGACAAGCUGAGAGGUGGUGCAUGGCCGUCGU
rnacentral:rRNA from 1 species